UACGGGGGGGGCAAGCGUUGUUCGGAAUUACUGGGCGUAAAGGGCUCGUAGGUGGCCAACUAAGUCAGACGUGAAAUCCCUCGGCUUAACCGGGGAACUGCAUCUGAUACUGGAUGGCUUGAGUUUGGGAGAGGGAUGCGGAAUUCCAGGUGUAGCGGUGAAAUGCGUAGAUAUCUGGAGGAACACCGGUGGCGAAGGCGGCAUCCUGGACCAACACUGACGCUGAGUGAGCGAAAGCCAGGGGAGCAAACGGG
rnacentral:rRNA from 1 species